AAAGAAAGCAGGAAAAGCUGGGUCAGGAGAGGGAUAAAGAAGAGUGAUAUUGAUACACUAGAAAUCUGAGGUCACAAGAGGUACACCUAUGGUUGCCGGUGACAAAGGGUAACCUAGAGAGGAGGAAGGUAGUUUUGUAUUUAAUGUGGAACCACCCUGAGGAGACACCAGUACUCUAACGGAGGGCACGGUGAGUGGUGGCCGUGUUCAAGAACACCUGGAAGUGACUGAGGAUCAGGCGCCCCGUGUAUGGAAAGCUUCCUGAAG
rnacentral:lncRNA from 10 species